AAAGACAAAGGAAAGUUUAAGUCAUAACGCACACUCCCAGCCUGACCUGUCUACGAGCUGCUGAGACCAGAGAUCACCGCUGCCUGUAGACGUUACUGACCACAAAAAUCCCAUUUAGCAAAACGGACUCUUCUCUGAUCUCACUAGCUUAUUUGAGAGAUAUUUACUGAGUGGUGUCAAGAACUCUUUCCUCAUGGAUAAAAACUACACCUAGCAGGAAAAAUACGAGAGUAUGAAUGACAAACGUGAGGAGCCAAGGCCAUGCGGACAGGCACAGGGACACAUUAAAAGCAAAACAUCUACUACACCAAAAAAUGUCUUUCUAAUGUUUUUCUUUAUAUAGUGUCCAGAAUCUUCCAUUUCUAUUUCAGAAGCUCUCCAAAGCUGUCCAAUGAAAACCUGAACAUGUGACUGCAAAGCAUUUAAAAUAUUUUUUAUCUCAAUGCCCAUGUUAGGAAAAGCACUCCUGAAGAGGAAACAGAUAAUGAUGACUUCAGGAAUACAACCCCUCAAAAGCACACACACAAUGCCGAGAAAUAAACCAAUACCACAAAAAGGACGUGCUCAAUUACGGCCAGAAGAGGGAACCCAGAGAUCUCACAGGCGGGUCAUCUAAGCCAUAGGUCGACACUGAGAGGCAAACAACAGCGAAGAGCAUGGGCUCUAAAGCCAGGUAGCCUGGGUGUGAGCGCCAAACUUCUUAGCCACGACACCAAGAACACGGUACUGAUCCUCUCUAUGCCUCGGGCAGCUCAUUUGUAAAAUGGGGAUUAAAGACUAGCUGGCUCUUAGGAUUCUGAGUCUUAAAUAAUGUAUGCCUGGUAUGGAGUAAGCACUACAGAAACAUGUAAGUGUUAGAUAUUACUCUAUGCUAGCUUCCAUUUUUGCUUUUAUCAUAUAACUUUUUUAUAAACCUAAAAUUUCACAUUAUUUACAUAGAACCCUGACCUCAAUGCAAGGCAGAGAACCUGCUCUCAUUUAGAAAUUUCUUCACUCUGAUACAGAAAUACGUGAGCUAGUUACUGGAUCCUACAAGUGGGUAACUAUAUCCUAGAUGACAUUAAAAGAAAUAAUUAAAAUCUUGGGACUGGGGAUUUUUGUCUCACCAGAGUUAUAAAAAGACCCAGGAGUAUAAGCUAGCAGGUUUCCAGGGCAAUGCUUCUAUCAUCCCUAUUUAUAGAACACAGCUUGGAAGAGAACAAUUCUCUAGGAUCUGAACUGUAUUUAUGAGUGUCUACAGAUCCAUGGUUGUACUGCUACACAACAGUAGGGUAGUGUGGGGGGGCAUAGUCACAUGAAAUGUCAGACUUGUAGAAUGUGUGGGUUCUCAAGGCCCGACCCCAGGCAGCCUCCACUGUCCCCAGCUCUUCCUGAGGCAGUGCAGGGCUAUAGAGAAAGUGAUCCCCAUUGUGCAUGGUUCCCCUGGAUGGAAUGUGAGCCUCGAGAAGCAGAAACCCUAGGACUAGACAUGUCCAACAUCCACUGUGUGUGUAUGGGUGUCUGUGAGUACACUCACGUGAGUGUGUGUUACUGUGUGUGAGUGAAUACGCUCUGGUGGGAAUCUGGUGACCUCAGGCCGGGGCUGGUGUGGAGGCAGCACCAAGAGUGGGGAAGGACACAGUCCUAGGAACCAGUCUUAUACCUGGGGUUUUAUACCAGUUUUAUACCACCUAUACCAUGAGUUUUACCACUUGCUUUGUGAACUAAGGCAAGCUUUUUAUCUAUGAAAUGGAGAUAAUAUUAAUAACUACCUCCUAAGGUUAUUUUGAAAAUUAAAAAAAAGGACAAUAUAUGUAAAAUACUCAAAUAUUCAGUAUUAAUUAAUGUUAUGUUAAAUGGUAGCCUUUUGAUUUUUAAAUGACAGUCUGAUAAAACGUGAAAGAACAGUUCCAGUCCAUCUAGUCAAAAUGAAGAGUCUCCUUUAGGACACGUACAAAGGAAAGAGACAACUGUUGCUGGAACCCCCAGAAACAGUGGAGAGUCCAGCACAUGGGAGUUAUUUUUACCUCUUAAAAUUUUACAAUUUUGUUCAUAUCCUCCAUUCUUGUAUUUGGCCAAAAGUAAAGCAAAGCUCUAUGUCCAGAACGCUUUACUUUUCAGACUUUCCCAGCAUUCCUGACAUUCAGGGGUACAGAUAGCUGGCUACCUGGCAUCUUUGGGCUGUGCUAGGAGAGGUCCUGCUGACCGGCACAUUCACAUCAGAAAGGAGCCAGGACUGUUUGUUAAAUGCCUUUAAGGAGUCCUUGCUAAUGUGUCCAUAGUACUUACUAGUACCCUCCACCUACCCAGCUCUCAAUCAGCUGAGGCACACUAAUGCUGACAAGCUUCUGCCACUUCCCCAAAGUCACAGAGUGUUCUGUUCAACUCAUCAGGAGGCAGUGCCUGGAACCCAAAGUCAUUCUUAAGCUCCCCCACCCCCUUCUCUAACCAGUUAAGAAGGAUUCUCCAUCAUCAAAAAGCAUUUCAGAAUACUGUAGACAAAGUACUGCCUCUGUGAUAUCUGGAAUGUUCAAUGAUCAGCUUCCUUUUCUGGCACAGCUUUUAAAGAUGUGGAAAUUGGGGCACCUGGGUAGCUCAGUUGGUUAAGCGACUGCCUUCGGCUCAGGUCAUGAUCCUGGAGUUCUGGGAUCGAGCCCCACAUUGGGCUUCCUGCUCAGCGGGGGGGUCUGCUUCUCCCUCUGACUCUCUGACCCUCUUCCCUCUCGUGCUCUCUGUCUCUGUCUCUCUCAAAUAAAUAAAAUCUUAAAAAAAAAAUAAAGAUGUGGAAAUUAUUCCCGUUACUGCAAUAUGACUCUACCCAGAAUCAAAUACUCAAGUCCCAGAGUCCAGCCUAAUCUACCAUACGCUAAUCUUCAUCACCCAUCCCUCUUAUAAAAAUUUACAACUGUGCUGUGCCUAUGACAUUUAAUAUUGCCAGGUCAUGGAUCUAAUAAGAGUUUGUUUCAAAUCUGUUACCUGUAAAUGCAGUUCUACAAAAACAGAUAAGUGUACACAGCAAAAUUAAUUUUUUUAAAAAGCUAUUACAACCAAAAACAUCACAUCAAGAUCCACAUAAACUUCAUUUUUAGUUGGGACUGUAGAAAUUACGGCCUUUAAUUCUCAUUAAACUAAUAGAAAUAAGUCACUUAUUGCAAAAGUCUUCUUGUUAUUACUGCCAUUAUAAGUGAUCACGAAGAUUACUGUCAACUGUGAAUGCAGGGGCUUUCAAAAAUGUGUGUAUCUUAAAAGGCACUACCAGAGAGUAAUGGAAAAAAUACCUAUCUACCUUACAAGAUAAGUUUGAAGCCUGCAGUUUUAAACACGAAAACUCCUCUCAAUUCUUAUCAGGACAGUUUCUGCUCUGUGCCUCUCACAAGAAAGAUCGCUCAGGAAGCUAGGUCUUUGAAAUCAGGCUCUCAGUUGGAGGUUUAAUUCAAUUAACAAUAUGGAGAUCCAACUGAGAAUCAAGUUCAUGUUUUGAACUCAGCUGAAAGUCAGAAGCCUGGGAUGGGAAUGUGUGGACACAACUUACUAAAGUUCCCCUCU